GACGAACGCUGGCGGCGUGCCUAAUACAUGCAAGUAGAACGCACAGUUUAUACCGUAGCUUGCUACACCAUAGACUGUGAGUUGCGAACGGGUGAGUAACGCGUAGGUAACCUGCCUGGUAGCGGGGGAUAACUAUUGGAAACGAUAGCUAAUACCGCAUAAUAUUGAUUAUUGCAUGAUAAUUGAUUGAAAGAUGCUAUUGCAUCACUACCAGAUGGACCUGCGUUGUAUUAGCUAGUAGGUGAGGUAACGGCUCACCUAGGCGACGAUACAUAGCCGAACUGAGAGGGUGAUCGGCCACACUGGGACUGAGACACGGCCCAGACUCCUACGGGAGGCAGCAGUAGGGAAUCUUCGGCAAUGGACGAAAGUCUGAACGAGCAACGCCGCGUGAGUGAAGAAGGUUUUCGGAUCGUAAAGCUCUGUUGUAAGAGAAGAACGGGUGUGAGAGUGGAAAGUUCACACUGUGACGGUAUCUUACCAGAAAGGGACGGCUAACUACGUG
rnacentral:rRNA from 1 species